GUGUCAGCAGCCGCGGUAAGACGAACUGUCCUAACGUUGUUCGGAAUCACUGGGCUUAAAGGGCGCGUAGGCGGUCCAUCAAGUCAGGGGUGAAAUCCUGCAGCUUAACUGUAGAAGUGCCUUUGAUACUGAUGGUCUGGAGGGAGAUAGGGGUGUGUGGAACUUCCAGUGGAGCGGUGAAAUGCGUUGAUAUUGGAAGGAACGCCGGAGGCGAAAGCGACGCACUGGAUCUCUACUGACGCUGAGGCGCGAAAGCCAGGGGAGCAAACGGGAUUAGAUACCCCGGUAGUCCUGGCCCUAAACGAUGAGUACUAGAUUGUAGACUGAUCAUGGGUUUACAGUCGAAGCAAAAGUGUUAAGUACUCCGCCUGGGGAGUAUGGUCGCAAGGCUGAA
rnacentral:rRNA from 1 species